UACGGAGGGUGCAAGCGUUAUCCGGAUUCACUGGGCUUAAAGGGUGCGUAGGCGGGAAUGUAAGUCAGUGGUGAAAUCUCCGUGCUUAACAUGGAAACUGCCAUUGAUACUAUGUUUCUUGAAUUUUCUGGAGGUAAGCGGAAUAUGUCAUGUAGCGGUGAAAUGCUUAGAUAUGACAUAGAACACCAAUUGCGAAGGCAGCUUGCUACAGGGAUAUUGACACUGAGGCACGAAAGCGUGGGGAGCAAACAGG
rnacentral:rRNA from 1 species